rnacentral:lncRNA from 1 species
GUGAAAGCAUUAUUCUUAGUUAUCACAAUUUUAUUACAAUCAAGGACAAUUUUAUAUCCUCUCUGAAUCAGCUGAGACCCACUAACUAGGUUCUUUCUAAGGUCUGAAAUGUAUAAUACAUCCGUCAGGAUAAGAACUUUUUCAGAAGUCAUCUUCAAGUUAAUUCGUCCUUAUUCCUUGAUCCUGACGGUUGUAUUGUUCCCAAGGAUUAUACCUCCUCC